rnacentral:rRNA from 1 species
AGCGAACGCUGGCGGCAGGCUUAACACAUGCAAGUCGAGCGGGCAUCCUUGUGGUGUCAGCGGCAGACGGGUGAGUAACGCGUGUGAACGUGCCCUUCGGUUCGGAAUAACUCAGGGAAACUUGAGCUAAUACCGGAUACGUGCGAGAGCAGAAAGGUUUAUCUGCCGAAGGAUCGGCCCGCGUCUGAUUAGCUAGUUGGUGAGGUUAUGGCUCACCAAGGCGACGAUCAGUAGCUGGUCUGAGAGGAUGAUCAGCCACACUGGGACUGAGACACGGCCCAGACUCCUACGGGAGGCAGCAGUGGGGAAUAUUGGACAAGGGGGGCAACCCUGAUCCAGCCAUGCCGGGUGAGUGAUGACGGCCGUAGGGUUGUAAAGCUCUUUUCUCCGGGACGAUAAUGACGGUACCGGAGGAAUAAGCCCCGGCUAACUUCGUG